GUGUUGAUUGUUUGUGUUCUGAUAUCUGUUUCCAUCAUCUCUGAAGCUUGUAAAUGUUUCGUCCGUCAUCCGCAAAACGAUUUUUGCCAAGCAGAUUAUGUGAUCAAGGCAGAAGUACUCGGUGAGAAAAACGUCACUUCGUUUGAAAAAAGAUACAAAGUAAAAGUGCUGGAAAAUUACAAGGUUAGUAAACUUUGUUAACUAGUGUCUAACUAAUGACCCCCUUAUUUCAUCAUACACAACAAUUAUAUACGAAACUUAAAAAAAGUAAAGUGAUUUAUUGUCAAAAAAAUUCAAUUAAAAGACAAGAAGGGACUUUUUAAAAUUAAUAUAGCUGUCAAUAUUUUAAGUUACUAAUUUAGAUUUAAAAAGCAAUGCCUAACUUAAUGAGCGAAAAUGAGGUCAAGCCUAUGCAUGUACAUGCAAAUAUACCUUUUUUCUUCACAAUACAUGGGAAGAAAAUAUCGACAGAAAAAAUGUUUGAAAAUGUAAACACCCAAAUUAUUAAAUAUCUUUUGCAUCAGUGCAUAAGUACCAUAAUUUCUUGUACUUUCAUACUUCAAUUUUCACAGAGUGGGUACACAAGUCCAUUCAAAUAUUCCCAAGUAUGGAUAUACACUACAACUUCAUCGGCCGCAUGUGGAGUACAGCUAGACAUAGGAAAAACAUAUGUUAUCACAGGUCCUAAAAGAGGUACUCAACUUACGGCUAACACCUGUUCCUGGAAUGUCGAAGUAUCUGCCUUGACAAGUUUCCAAAGAAACGCCCUUAGAAAAGGCUAUUACAGAAAGAAUUGCGAAUGCAAGAUUCGGGAAUGUCCACAUAAUCGAUGUGAACAAGGAGAUGGCUGUCUUGCUCCAUACGACAACUCUUUCUGUUUCCACCAGAACGCGGCUUGUAAACAAUCAGCAUACUCAACGUCAUGUGAAUGGACCCCCAAUACUUGUUAAUACUUUAUAUAUGGAUAAAAUUCCAUGAAUAAACAUUUAC
rnacentral:misc_RNA from 1 species